GGUUCGAUGGUGUAGUUGGUUAUCACUUCUGUCUAACAACUGUGGGAUUAUUCCCGUAACUUGUCGCACAGGCGGUCCUCAGUUCGAACCUGGGUCGAAUCA